rnacentral:rRNA from 1 species
GAUGAACGCUGGCGGCGUGCCUUACACAUGCAAGUCGAGCGAACAGACGCCUUGCUUUCCUCACGGAUGGUAGCCGCGGGCGUGUUAGUAACACAUGUAUAACCUGCCGGUGAGUCUGGCAGCACUUCCGGAAAUCGUAGCUAAUGUCAGCUGAUAUAGUAAACCGCGUGCUUCAAUAGUAUGUUUCGCCUUUCCUGUUUGUAAUAGAUGAUUCCGUGCCGGAUUAGCUAGUUGGUAAGGUAACGGCUUACCAAGGCGACGAUGCGUAGCUGACCUGAGAGGGUGAUCGGCCACACUGGAACUGAGACACGGUCCAGACUCCUACGGGAGGCAGCAGUAGGGAAUCUUCCGCAAUGGGCGAAAGCCUGACGCAGCAACGCCGCGUGCGUGAAGAAGGUCUUCGGAUCGUAAAACUCUGUUAUUAGGGAAGAAAAAAUGUGUAAGAAAAUAUGCACGUAUUGACGGUACCUGAUCAAAAAGCAACGGCUAACUACGUG